rnacentral:rRNA from 1 species
CGACGUGAGUAACCUGCCUUGGAGUGGGGAAUAACACAGUGAAAACUGUGCUAAUACCGCAUAAUGCAUUUGGGUCGCAUGAUUCUGAAUGCCAAAGAUUUAUCGCUCUGAGAUGGACUCGCGUCUGAUUAGCUAGUUGGCGGGGUAACGGCCCACCAAGGCGACGAUCGGUAGCCGGACUGAGAGGUUGAACGGCCACAUUGGGACUGAGACACGGCCCAG